rnacentral:rRNA from 1 species
UACAGGGGGUGCAAACGUUGCUCGGAAUCGUUGGGCGUAAAGCGCACGUAGGCGGUCUGUUAUGUCGGAUGUGAAAGCCCUUGGCUCAACUGAGGAAGUGCAUCCGAAACUGGCAGGCUAGAGUACGAAAGAGGAUCGCGGAAUUCCCGGUGUAGAGGUGAAAUUCGUAGAUAUCGGGAGGAACACCAGUGGCGAAGGCGGCUUUCUGGUCUGCUCUUGACGCUGAGGCGCGAAAGCUAGGGUAGCAAACAGG